UAACCUGCCCAAGAGAUCGGGAUAACACCUGGAAACAGAUGCUAAUACCGGAUAACAACAGAUGAUGCCUAUCAACUGUUUAAAAGAUGGUUCUGCUAUCACUCUUGGAUGGACCUGCGGUGCAUUAGCUAGUUUGUAGGGUAACGGCCUACCAAGGCGAUGAUGCAUAGCCGAGUUGAGAGACUGAUCGGCUACAUUGGGACUGAGACACGGCCCAAACUCCUACGGGAGGCAGCAGUC
rnacentral:rRNA from 1 species